rnacentral:lncRNA from 1 species
GUGAGCCGGAGAAAUGUCACUCUCACUACACUACAUUCUGUCUUCUUUCCAUCCUUGUUCCAUUCACCCUCUGUAGGUGACCAGUCUCUUUCAUUUCUGGUUUAUCCUUACUGCAUUUCUUUUGCACAAAUGUGCAGAUACAUGUACACUUUCUCAUGUCCUCUUCUUUCUUCUAUGAAGAGCUGUUUACUGUAGACACUCUUGGGCUUUGCUUACUUCACUGAACACUAUGUCCUGGAAUUCACUCCAUAUUCAUUCAUACAGCUCUUCCUCAAUUCUUUUUUAUAACUGCACACUGCUUCAUCUUAUUGAUGUGCCAUGAUUUAUUCAACCACUAAAUACUGGACGUUUAGGUGUUUCCAAUAUUUUGCAAUGAGAAACAAUGCUGCAAUGAAUAACCUUGUGCAUAUGUGUUUUAUUAUCAUCAGAAGUGCGUUUUCGGAGUGGAUCCCUAGAAGUGGGAUUGCUGGGUCAAAAGAGGUAAACAGAGGUUUACGACUUUAAUAACCGUGUGUACACUGAUGACUCUUGAGUCUACAUCUUCAGCAUGAACUAUCUAAGCACCAUCCUGUGACCUGAGGCAGGUGGUGAAGAGGAUUUCAUCUGUGCCUUCAAGAAUUCCAGAGGCUCAGCCUCGAGAGGAGGAGACUCAGAGAAAAGAACAGCGAGGCUCAAAUCCCUGAAGGGCCAUUUCUCGUAAAACAGAACAAAUGGUCUCUGCCAGUUCUCAGAGCCCAAGGAGUGGGUGAGAGAAGCAGGUCUCCCCUCAGCACAGGCAACCUUGGUGAUCUGAGGGAGACCAACCAGCCUGUACAUAAACAGGUUUUGCUUAAAAAGUGUAGUUGCUUUAAAAGAUUACUUUAAAUUAGGGAAAAUAGAUACUUAUUUUAAAGCACCUAUUGUUUGGAAAUUCAUAGUACGCAACGGACGCCCCAGUGCAAGUCACAGAUCCUGUGGCACGCAAUUAGGUGAGGGUGACAUUAGUAAGUGGUUCCAUUGUGCUGCUACGUGCCGUAUAUCCUACAUGCCAUAUCUCCUGCUGGUUCUCUCUCUGAGGUCCAGUGAUGGACAUUCAGGGCUCACAUUCAGGGCUCAUCAGUAGCCUUUGGCCUUUGAUAACUCCUUUUUUCCAGAAACUUCCUUCGCCCUCUCUUGUUCCCUUUGCCCUCUCUUCUUCCCCUCCCACCUGCCUCUCUGCUCCUUCUCAGUCUCCUUUGCUGGUUCUUCCCCAACCCCCUGAGGCAGGAAAGCCCCAGGACUCAGUCCUCUGUCUUCUCCUCUGUCUAUACCCACCUCCCACGAGAUUUCACAUGCAUCUCAGUUUUGAGGCCUUAGAUACCAUUUUAUUGAUGUCAAUCCCCAGGUCCAUAUCUUCAGCCCCAACCUGUUCCUUGGAUUCCAGAACUACAUGUCCAACUGUCUGCUCAUCUUCUCCGUCUAGGUGUCUGUGGGCAUCUUUUUUUUUUUAGUUUUUAAGUUCAAGUGCAGGUUUGUUAUACAGGUAAACUCGUGUCAUGGGCUUUGUUGUACAGAUUAUUUCAUCAUCCAGGUAUUAAGCCUAGUACCCAUUAGUUAUUUUUCCUGAUGUUCUUCCUCCUCCCACCCUCCACCCUCUGAAAGUCCCCAGCGUGUGUUGUUCUGCUCCAUGUGUCCCUGAGUUUUCAUCAUUAGCUCUCACUUGUAAGUGAGAAUAUGCGGUAUUUGGUUUUUCAUUCCUGUGUUAAUUCGCUAACAAUAAUGACUUCCAGGUGCAUCCACAUCCAUGCAAAGGACAUGAUCUUUUUCUUUUUUAUGACUGUAUAGUAUUCCAUGGUGUAUACGUACCACAUUUUCUUUAUCCAGUCUAUCACUGAUGGCCAUUUAGGUUGAUUCCAUGUCUUUGCUAUUGUGAAUAGUGCUGCAAUAAACAUAUGCAUGCAUAUGUCUUUAUAACAGAAUGAUUUAUAGUUCUUUGGGUAUAUACCCAGGAAUGGGAUUGCUGGGUCAAAUGGUACUUCUCUUUUUAGGUCUUUGAGGAAUCACCACACUGUCUUCCACAAUGGCUGAACUAAUUUACAUUCCCACCAAUACUGUGUUUACUCUCCACAGAAAACCGGGGCAGUUUUUAGUAAUGUUAUUCAGAACAUGUAACUCUCACAGUCAACUUCAGGGACCUCUCAUCUCAUGCAGAGUAAAAGCUGAAGCGAUGUAAAGUCAACACGACCUAACAUCCACUACCUCUCAACCACAUCUCUGCCCAUUCCUCCUGCACCGUACCCCAUUCACUCUGCUUCUGAGACAAGGACCUUCUCACUGUUCCUUGAACAUGCCAAGACCAUCCCUGCCUCCAGGCCUUUGCACUUGCUAUUCCCUCUACUUGCCCUUCUCUUUGCCCAGACAUUCCCUUGUUUCAUUCACUCACUUUCUUUAGGUCUCUGCUCAAAAGUCACCUUAUCAGUGAUGUCUUCCCCUCCCACCCUAUAUAACAUGGAAAUUAACGAAAUCUGCUAUUUCCUACUCCCACUUAAGUUUGCUUUAUGUUUCCUCCAUAGCACUCACCACCAUCUGAUGUUCCAUAUAUUUACUUGGUACUUUUGUCUACUUUGUAUCACCCCUACUAAAAUGAAUUCUAUGCAGGCAGGGGUUUUGUUUGCUUUAUUAUUAUUAUUAUUAUUAUUUUAGUCUCUUUUUUUUUGAGACAGAGAUUCACUCUGUUACCCAGGCUGGGGUGCAGUGGCGCGAUCUCAGCUCUCUGCAACCUCCGCCUCCUGGGUUCAAGCGAUCAUCUCACCUCAGCCUCCUGAGUAGCUGGGAUUACAGGUGUGUGCCACCACAUCCAGAUAAUUUUUGUAUUUUUAAUAAAGACAGGGUUUCACCAUUUUGGCCAGGCUGGUCUCAAACCCCUGACCUCAGGUGAUCUGCCCACCUCAGCCUCCCAAAGUGCUGGGAUUACAGGCAUGAGCCACCACACCCGGCCUUGUUUGCUUUACUUAACAUUGACUCCCGGGCACCUUGAAGAGCACGUGGCACAGGUAGGCCCUUAACAUAAAUGUGUUGAAUAACUAAAUAAAUGAAUGAUGAGUGGCAUCACCUCACAUCACUGCCUCAUGAACUCCACAGCCCAAACAAUCUCAAUUCUCUGUCCUGCACCUCCCACCUUGCAGUUCAUGUCAACCAUCCCUCAGGGGGCACAGGGUUGAAGGUACAGAGGUGCUGAACUGGACUGGAGGAUUCAAGAUCCCAGCUCUCUCUUCUUCAACGACAUGGCAAAAUUCCCCUGCUUUCUCCAAAGUUCAUUCAUUCCUGCAUUUCUUCAAUUAUGAUGUACAAAUCAAAUAUAUGUAGAAGACUCUGCUAGAUGUCAGGGAGGCUCAGAGAAGUCUCAAUCAAAGCCUUCAUCCUCAAGGCACUAUAAUUUACUCAUGGAACCCAGACAUUUACAUUUAACAUAUCAAUCAACAAUAUCAUAGAGACCAAGUAAAUGUGUGAAUUGUGACAGGAAAUAUAUGAAUAAGUGUGAAAUCAGGCAUCUUAAUAUAAAACAUGUUGAGAACUACAGAAUCUUGGAGAGGUUGGAUUGGAGAAGGGUCUUAAAGAUGGGUAGGAAGUAGAGUGAUACAGUGGACAAGAGGGUGUAAAUCUAGGAAUGAGAAGAAAAUGGUAGGAAAUUAGACAAAGUGGGAUGGUAGGAGGAUAGAGAGAAUCCUUCCUAAACCAAGGAUCCUGUAUAUCUGCAUGCUGAGGUCAAGAAGACGAAGUCCCUGGAGUGAACCCACGUUGGCAUGUGUGACUGCGGCAGAGCUGGUCAAGGCUCUUAACGGUGACAGAAAAAGGAGCAAACCAACCACCUGAUGGCCUGCUGCUCCCCCAAAACAGACCUCAUCCUGCAGAUGAAAGACCGCCGCGAGCCCAUGCACAUCCUCAUGGAUGACUGCUGCCCUUCUUUCUUGACCGUCCCAGUCUUCAGGUCCAAGAUCCGGCCUAAGAGAGAGAGAAGGACAGUUACGUAAGCCUCUGCCUUCGGUUGGGAGAUGGAGGAGGGAGUUCGGGGAGUGCUUUCUCCAAAUGCUCUGCCAAAUGAGGACAAGUGUGGCUGUGCAAAUUGUUUGUGUCUUGGAAUUCCCAACAUUCUUUGGCAAGAAACUCACAUAGUGAUGAAAUCCAUACAGUUCAAAAUGCUUUGUUUCUUCAGAGCCGUCUACACUUGCUGUCUCUGCUUUGCUGGAUUCCG